UGGGAGGAAGUAGAAAGAAGACAUUGCUGGAAGCAGAGGGGAGUGGAAACUGGAGCAAGUUUAAAGUUAGGAUCAAAGAAGAGA